rfam:Ochrobactrum anthropi ATCC 49188 plasmid pOANT03, complete sequence.
UGUCAAGCGUUUUGACGUCGUUUGCGGCGAACGGAUCUCUUUUGCCUUCAGUUAGGUGAGAGAAAUG